rnacentral:rRNA from 1 species
AAUUUGGCAACUUCAAAGUUUGUUAGUGCCCCCCAGAACAAUUCCAAGACAGAUAUUCGCAGCUAACCCCCGUUCCCCCCCCUUAUUUUAAUUCCCUUUCCGUAGGUGAACCUGCGGAGGGAUCAUUACACAAAUAUGAAGGCGGGCUGGAACCUCUCGGGGUUACAGCCUUGCUGAAUUAUUCACCCUUGUCUUUUGCGUACUUCUUGUUUCCUUGGUGGGUUCGCCCACCACUAGGACAAACAUAAACCUUUUGUAAUUGCAAUCAGCGUCAGUAACAAAUUAAUAAUUACAACUUUCAACAACGGAUCUCUUGGUUCUGGCAUCGAUGAAGAACGCAGCGAAAUGCGAUAAGUAGUGUGAAUUGCAGAAUUCAGUGAAUCAUCGAAUCUUUGAACGCACAUUGCGCCCUUUGGUAUUCCAAAGGGCAUGCCUGUUCGAGCGUCAUUUGUACCCUCAAGCUUUGCUUGGUGUUGGGCGUCUUGUCUCUAGCUUUGCUGGAGACUCGCCUUAAAGUAAUUGGCAGCCGGCCUACUGGUUUCGGAGCGCAGCACAAGUCGCACUCUCUAUCAGCAAAGGUCUAGCAUCCAUUAAGCCUUUUUUCAACUUAGACCUCGGAUCAGUGCUGGAUACCCGCGAACUUUUCUUUCAUUUUCAG